CUUAACACAUGCAAGUCGAACGGCAGCGCAAAGGGGCUUGCUCCUUGGCGGCGAGUGGCGAACGGGUGAGUAACGCGUAGGAAUCUGCCUUGUAGUGGGGGACAACUCGGGGAAACUCGAGCUAAUACCGCAUAAUCUCUACGGAGCAAAGUGGGGGAUCGAAAGACCUCACGCUAUAAGAUGAGCCUGCGUCGGAUUAGCUAGUUGGUGGGGUAAUAGCCUACCAAGGCAACGAUCCGUAGCUGGUCUGAGAGGACGACCAGCCACACUGGGACUGAGACACGGCCCAGACUCCUACGGGAGGCAGCAGU
rnacentral:rRNA from 1 species